UACGGAGGAUGCAAGUGUUAUCCGGAAUCACUGGGCGUAAAGCGUCUGUAGGUGGUUUGCUAAGUCCGCUGUUAAAGCUUGAAGCUCAACUUCAAAAAUGCAGCGGAAACUAGUAGACUUGAGUGUGGUAGGGGUAGAGGGAAUUUCCAGUGAAGUGGUGAAAUGCGUAGAUAUUGGAAAGACCACCAAUGGCGAAGGCACUCUACUGGGCCAUAACUGACACUGAGAGACGAAGGCUAGGGGAGCAAAUGGG
rnacentral:rRNA from 1 species